rnacentral:rRNA from 1 species
UACGUAGGGUGCAAGCGUUGUCCGGAAUUAUUGGGCGUAAAGAGCUCGUAGGCGGUCUGUCGCGUCGGCUGUGAAAUCCCGAGGCUCAACCUCGGGUCUGCAGUCGAUACGGGCAAACUAGAGUAUUGCAGGGGAGACUGGAAUUCCUGGUGUAGCGGUGAAAUGCGCAGAUAUCAGGAGGAACACCCGUAGCGAAGGCGGCACUCUGGGCCGAUACUGACACUGAGGAGCGAAAGCGUGGGGAGCGAACAGG